UUUAUUGGAGAGUUUGAUCCUGGCUCAGGAUGAACGCUGGCGGCGUGCCUAAUACAUGCAAGUCGAGCGAAUGGAUUAAGAGCUUGCUCUUAUGAAGUUAGCGGCGGACGGGUGAGUAACACGUGGGUAACCUGCCCAUAAGACUGGGAUAACUCCGGGAAACCGGGGCUAAUACCGGAUAACAUUUUGAAUCGCAUGGUUCGAAAUUGAAAGGCGGCUUCGGCUGUCACUUAUGGAUGGACCCGCGUCGCAUUAGCUAGUUGGUGAGGUAACGGCUCACCAAGGCAACGAUGCGUAGCCGACCUGAGAGGGUGAUCGGCCACACUGGGACUGAGACACGGCCCAGACUCCUACGGGAGGCAGCAGUAGGGAA
rnacentral:rRNA from 1 species